UUUGGUGCACCCCCAGGGAGUCAAAAAAUGAGCUAGUUGUUCAGCCUGUGCAGCAAGAGAAGACUUUGUGAGUGGUCCUGGCUGACGUGGUGUGUGUGUGUGUGUGUGUGUGUUUUUACUGUUUCUAAAUAUUAUAAAAUGGGAAGCAGUUACGACUAAUACGAUGUCUGGCAAAAACUACUGACUCAGGCCUAAAUAUUCCAUCUGAUGCACAAUGACUACGCAGUUCAACAAAAGGUGGGCCUGUAAUAAUCGUCGGCGUUACUCACACAAAUAGAUUAAUAUUUUGAUUUUCCACAGAUCCUCUUGUAAAGAAGUUAGAGAUUCCAUGCCAAAUUCGGCAUAUACGUGCCAGGGUGCUUCUGAAGCAUGCCUGAAAAUUCUCAUUUUAAUUAUGUGAUUUUUACUCGAAAAUAUACAUUCAUGUGCGUGGUGAUUAUUCUGGAAAGACAAAGCUCACUCAAAUCCAUUGGCUCCUUUAAGGUUGGAUCUGACUUUACUGUUUGACUUGACAAUAAGUGGAACCUUAGAUUAUAUCUGAACGUAAGCAGUGCAAAAAUAAAACAAAAGAGAGGCCAAACAUUUAGAGAGUAAAGAUUUGCUGGGCACCCUGCCAUUUGGAGAUGGUGAGGAAGAUAGAGGUAAAUCACCUUCUUUAACUGACUUUAAGCAAAACUCAAAGCUGUGCCUGGUGUAGAUGCACCUUUACACCUCACUAACAUCUUUACUUGUUUUUAGCGUCGAAGGCAAAUGACGAAGAACAGCAGGAAGAGAAAUGGGAAGAGGAAGAGGAAGAGGAAGAGGAAGAGGAAGAGGAAGAGGAAGAGGAAGAGGAAGGUCCUCUGUCUUCAUAAUUUCCAUCCCUUCCGUCUUCAAAAGGUGUUAAAUUCCCAUCCAUUCACUGAGACAAUAAUCCUCCUUCAGAGCAACACACUGUUCUCCAUGUUCGCCAGAAAAGACACAAACUGCUUCAAACAUCUCCUUUUCAGCUGAAAUUGCUCACCAAACUAUAGAACUUAUAGGUAAGUCUAUGUGAGAAAAUGCAAGAAUCCUAUGCAAAGGACACACAAAUAUUUCCCUGGUAGGAUAAAGCCACUGAGCCACUGGCAAUCUCUGCUUGUGCAGACAGAACUUGACAGCAAAUAGCUGUGACUCCUGAAGGAUUUAAUCUUAGAA
ensembl:lncRNA